CUGCAAAUGGCAAAGCCUCGAAAUAAAUAAAGCCAAUAAACAAACAAACAAACAAACAAAUAAACAGAGAUUGUUUGUUUGUUUGUUUGUUUUC
rnacentral:ribozyme from 1 species